AUUGGUUGAUCCUGCCAGUAGUCAUAUGCUCGUCUCAAAGAUUAAGCCAUGCAUGUGUAAGUAUAAGCGAUUGUACUGUGAGACUGCGAACGGCUCAUUAUAUCAGUAAUAGCACUUUCUUCGGUCAGUUUCGUUUUAUAUGGAUACCUGCAGUAAUUCUGGCAGAGGUAAUACAUGCCAGUCGUAUGACGGUCUGGUUAUUAUGGGCUGCACUUAGUUAGACUUGGUGCCUAUUUGUGUUGCACGCUGAGUCAUGUUAAUUGAGCAGAUUGGGGGUAUCGUAUUUAGAAGCUCGAGGUGAAAUUCGUUUGAGUUUCUGCCCCAUCAGUUGACUCGAGCGGUAGUGUAUUGUACCUAGCAUGUUUUUCAUAAUCGGGUGACGGAGAGUCUAGGGCUCGACUCCGAAGAUGAUGGAUGCCAUCGUAGUCUAGACGGCUAAACGAUAUCCGACUUGCGAUUGUUGCAGGUGCGUUUAUUACCUACUGUGGCCUCCACGCAGGUAGUGACAUGAGAAAUCAAAGUCUUUGGGUUGCGGGGGGUGUAUGCGUUUUGCUAGUCUGAAACUUAGAGGAAUGUGACGGAAGGGCCCUCAUCGAGGAGUGGAGCUGGAGGGCUUAAGUCUGGUGACUCAGCAGCCGCGGAUAACUUACCAGGUCCAGAAGCAUAUGGUAAAGUUGAUUGACAGAUUAGAGAGCUCCUUCAGUUGAAUUUCUGGCAUGGGUGAGUGGUGCUUGUCCGUUCUUAGUUGGUGGAUUGAUUGUCUGCGUUGCCUUGGCCAUCUUUUUCUUUUCUUUAUUGAAUGAGACCUCUUUCUACUGUAAUCAGUGCAGUGUGUAUGGCAAGCAUGGUACGUUUUUACUUCUUAGAGGGACAUGUCCGGUUUACGGGCAGGAAGUUCGAGGCAAUAACAGGUCUGUGAUGCCCUUAGAUGUUCUGGGCCGCACGCGCGCUACACUGAUGGGUUCAUCGGGUUUUAAUUCUAUUUUUUGGAAUUGAGUGCUUGGUCGGAAGGCCUGGCUAAUCCUUGGAACGCUCAUCGUGCUGGGGCUAGAUUUUUGCAAUUAUUAAUCUCCAACGAGGAAUUCCUAGUAAACGCAAGUCAUCAGCUUGCAUUGAAUACGUCCCUGCCCUUUGUACACACCGCCCGUCGCACCUACCGAUUGAACGGUCCGAUGAAACCAUGGGAUGUUUCUGUUUGGAUUAAUUUUUGGACAGAGGCAGAACUCGGGUGAAUCUUAUUGUUUAGAGGAAGGUGAAGUCGUAACAAGGUUUCCGUAGGUGAACCUGCGGAAGGAUCAUUAAUCUUGCUAAAACUCGAGCCUCUAGUUUCGUG
rnacentral:rRNA from 1 species